UGCAGUCGAACGAGAAGGGUCUUCGGACCUGAGUAGAGUGGCGCACGGGUGAGUAACGCGUAAGUAACCUGCCCCUUUAUCUGGGAUAACAGUUCGAAAGGGCUGCUAAUACCGGAUAAUCUUGCCGGUCAUAAGUCUGGUAAGGAAAGGUGACCUCUUCUUGAAAGUUACCGUAGAGGGAGGGGCUUGCGUACCAUUAGCUUGUUGGUGGGGUAACGGCCUACCAAGGCGACGAUGGUUAGCGGGUUUGAGAGGAUGAUCCGCCACACUGGAACUGAGACACGGUCCAGACUCCUACGGGAGGCAGCAGUAGGGAAUCUUCCGCAAUGGGCGAAAGCCUGACGGAGCAACGCCGCGUGAGCGAAGAAGGUCUUCGGAUUGUAAAGCACUUUUAGUGAGGAGGAAAGGUUAGUAGUUAAUACCUGCUAGCUGUGACGUUACUCACAGAAAAAGCACCGGCUAACUCUGUGCCAGCAGCCGCGGUAAUACAGAGGGUGCAAGCGUUAUUCGGAAUUACUGGGCGUAAAGCGCGCGUAGGCGGAUUGUUAAGUCAGUUGUGAAAGCCCUGGGCUCAACCUAGGAACGGCGAUUGAAACUGGCAGUCUAGAGUUUAGUAGAGGGAAGGGGAAUUUCUGGAGUAGCAGUGAAAUGCGUAGAUAUCAGAAGGAACAUCAGUGGCGAAGGCGCCUUCCUGGACUAAAACUGACGCUGAGGUGCGAAAGCGUGGGGAGCAAACGGGAUUAGAUACCCCGGUAGUCCACGCCCUAAACGAUGUCAACUAGCUGUUGGUCUUAUUAAAAAGAUUAGUAGCGCAGCUAACGCGAUAAGUUGACCGCCUGGGGAGUACGGUCGCAAGAUUAAAACUCAAAGGAAUUGACGGGGGCCCGCACAAGCGGUGGAGCAUGUGGUUUAAUUCGAUGCAACGCGAAGAACCUUACCAUCCCUUGACAUCCAGAGAAGUUUCCAGAGAUGGAUUCGUGCCUUCGGGAGCUCUGAGACAGGUGCUGCAUGGCUGUCGUCAGCUCGUGUCGUGAGAUGUUGGGUUAAGUCCCGCAACGAGCGCAACCCUUAUCAUUAGUUGCUACCAUUUAGUUGAGAACUCUAAUGAGACUGCCGGUGAUAAACCGGAGGAAGGCGGGGACGACGUCAAGUCAUCAUGGCCCUUAUGGGAUGGGCUACACACGUGCUACAAUGGUCGGUACAAACAGUUGCGAAGCCGCGAGGUGGUGCUAAUCUGAAAAAACCGAUCGUAGUCCGGAUCGGAGUCUGCAACUCGACUCCGUGAAGUCGGAAUCGCUAGUAAUCGUGAAUCAGAAUGUCACGGUGAAUACGUUCCCGGGCCUUGUACACACCGCCCGUCACACCAUGGGAGUGGGUUGCAAAAGAAGUGGGUAGUCUAACCUUCGGAGGACGCUC
rnacentral:rRNA from 1 species